rnacentral:rRNA from 1 species
CCUACGGGAGGCAGCAGUGGGGAAUAUUGCACAAUGGGCGCAAGCCUGAUGCAGCAACGCCGCGUGAGGGAUGAAGGCCUUCGGGUCGUAAACCUCUUUUAGCAGGGAAGAAGCGAAAGUGACGGUACCUGCAGAAAAAGCACCGGCUAACUACGUGCCAGCAGCCGCGGUAAUACGUAGGGUGCAAGCGUUGUCCGGAAUUAUUGGGCGUAAAGAGCUCGUAGGCGGUUUGUCACGUCUGCUGUGAAAAUCCAAGGCUCAACCUUGGACUUGCAGUGGGUACGGGCAGGCUAGAGUGCGGUAGGGGAGAUGGGAAUUCCUGGUGUAGCGGUGGAAUGCGCAGAUAUCAGGAGGAACACCAAUGGCGAAGGCACAUCUCUGGGCCGUAACUGACGCUGAGGAGCGAAAGCGUGGGGAGCAAACAGGAUUAGAUACCCUGGUAGUCCACGCCGUAAACGGUGGGUGCUAGCUGUGGGUCACAUUCCACGUGAUCCGUAACGAAGUUAACACAUUAAGCACCCCGCCUGGGGAGUACGGCCGCAAGGCUAAAACUCAAAGGAAUUGACGG